GGCUCGGGUCUGGUCGUAUUUCUUAUGGGAAAUUUUGGAAUCGCUAGCUCAGCUUUUAGCUCUGUCCAACUUCUUCUGUUCUGGAUACUCAAGCGAGUAGCAAGUGCGCGUCGUGAAACGUUAAAUAAAAGUCUAGAACAGGAGAUAUUAAAAUAUUAGUAGCGUGUUAGUGGCAAAAACCUUGAUUAUUUCUAGUGGGUGCAGUUGUAUCAAAAUACCCAAACUCCAAGCUGCGCUACUGGAUUAAAUUAUAAAAGAAGAAAAAGGUCCACACAGGGCCUUUUUCUUUCUGCCUAAACCUCUAGCGUCUGGCAACCGCCGCCAUUGUGAUUUUGUGGAACCGAUCCAACGAGCCGGUGACCGCGUGUGUCUCGGGACAAAUCUGAGACCCCACCCAGCCAUCCGUCGGCAACCACUCUGUAGCUCAGGGCCCCAGCAACGAAUUGCUCUCGCGGUGCGUGACCGCAAGCGAGACUCUCCUUAACUCCAGCAGUUCUUCAUCUCCAUUGAGCCUGGGUUGCCAGUGAGGAUUAAAAAUCCAGGACUUACGAUCCGCCGAAAUGGUCGUGACUCCAAGGGCCGCAGUAAAGUAGUGUCCACCACGCCAAAUGCCCCAACAUCAGACCUAAGAAAUAACCGCAAGUACUAAUGUGACGUCACUAGUUUUAAGUUAAUGGCCAAAACAAAUAACUCAAAACAAUUAUGUAAAACACAAAAAUUAGCAUGCAAAAUAAUUAUGUAGUUUAAAAGCA